rnacentral:sRNA from 1 species
UGGCGCCGGCGGCGUCCGCCUGAGCAGCGCGGGCAACAGCGGCGGCGUUGGCCGGAUCGGGCCGCGACUCCUCCUGGCCAUGGGGGACGUGCUUUCCACGCACCUGGACGACGCCCGGCGCCAGCACAUCGCAGAAAAAACCGGGAAGAUCCUGACGGAGUUCCUCCAGUUCUAUGAAGACCAGUAUGGCGUGGCUCUCUUCAACAGCAUGCGCCAUGAGAUUGAGGGCACGGGGCUGCCGCAGGCCCAGCUGCUCUGGCGCAAGGUGCCGCUGGACGAGCGCAUCGUCUUCUCGGGGAACCUCUUCCAGCACCAGGAGGACAGCAAGAAGUGGAGAAACCGCUUCAGCCUCGUGCCCCACAACUACGGGCUGGUGCUCUACGAAAACAAAGCGGCCUAUGAGCGGCAGGUCCCACCACGAGCCGUCAUCAACAGUGCAGGCUACAAAAUCCUCACGUCCGUGGACCAAUACCUGGAGCUCAUUGGCAACUCCUUACCAGGUUCAUCCUGGUGGAAAACACGUACGAGGAGGUGGUGCUGCAGACCGUCAUGAAGGACAUCCUGCAGGCUGUGAAGGAGGCCGCGGUGCAGAGGAAGCACAACCUCUACCGGGACAGCAUGGUCAUGCACAACAGUGACCCCAACCUGCACCUGCUGGCCGAGGGCGCCCCCAUCGACUGGGGCGAGGAGUACAGCAACAGCGGCGGGGGCGGCAGCCCCAGCCCCAGCACCCCGGAGGCAGCCACGCUCUCGGAAAAGCGACGGCGCGCCAAGCAGGUGGUCUCCGUGGUCCAGGAUGAGGAGGCGGGGCUGCCCUUUGAGGCUAGC